rnacentral:lncRNA from 1 species
AACCGUCAAUAGGCUGAUGAUUGACUUUGGGACACUAUUCCCAAUAAAGUCUCCAUCCGAGCUUCUACAGCAGAUGACUCCGACCUGUAGUAUCAGCACCUAAAGUAUCCGACAGCAGUAAACUCGUCAGCAGCUUCGGAGACAUCCGAGCUUCUUCCAGAUCGACGGGAUAGAGAGCCAUUCCGCUCCAUCAGAUGUCCCAACCGAACUUCAGCCGACAGAUCCGAACUCUCUGGCAAGUCAC